GAUGAACGCUAGCUACAGGCUUAACACAUGCAAGUCGGGGGGCAGCGCAGUGUAGCAAUACAUGGGCGGCGACCGGCGCACGGGUGCGUAACGCGUAUCCAACCUUCCCGUUACUCUUGGAUAGCCUUCCGAAAGGGAGAUUAAUACAGGAUGGUGUUUGAAUUCCGCAUGUUAUUCAAACUAAAGAUUUAUCGGUAACGGAUGGGGAUGCGUGACAUUAGAUAGAUGGCGGGUAACGGCCCACCAUGUCCACGAUGUCUAGGGGUUCUGAGAGGAAGGUCCCCCACACUGGAACUGAGACACGGUCCAGACUCCUACGGGAGGCAGCAGUGAGGAAUAUUGGUCAAUGGCCGGAAGGCUGAACCAGCCAAGUAGCGUGAAGGAUGAAGGUUCUAUGGAUUGUAAACUUCUUUUAUACGGGAAUAAAACCUCCCACGUAUGGGAGCUUGUAUGUACCGUAUGAAUAAGCAUCGGCUAACUCCGUG
rnacentral:rRNA from 1 species